UCAUGAUCCCUUUCUUUCCGAACUUGCAAAUCACCUAAGCAUUGAGUUUCUUUCUGGGUUUUAAAUUAUAUGACACAAAGCAAACAGCUUCAUGUACAUGUGAUGAGAAAUAAUUAAGUGAUGAAAUUAAAACUUUGCUGUAAUUGUUCUUCAACAGGACAUUCCAACAAGCUCGUUGAUUGAAGAUGAUGUGAUAAGUGAAGCAUCAGUUGCAGACAUGACUCACUUCAUUUCCAAGAUGCCCGUGUCCCCUUCUGUUUCCCAUGUUAUUAGCAUUGGGAAACUUUUGGAAUCUGUAAUCUUAUCCUUUCUUUAGCAUCUUCCCAUUCCUUUUUUCUACUUGUGGCAUCUGGCAUGUGUCCAUGUAUGUUUGACAAAUUUGUAUACAAGGACAUUUGUCCAUCUUAGUGUAUGAACUUGAGCAAUAUGGUUUCAGGCACUUGAGGUAGCUGGUCAAGUGGCAGGA
rnacentral:misc_RNA from 1 species